rnacentral:lncRNA from 1 species
UGGCUCCAGCGUCAACAUUAUACCCAGGGUACUCUAUGAAAAAUUCUUUACACAUCCUUUAUUAGAAAUAACCAUGUGGUUGUAGUUUGCAAAUCAGGCGAUAAGUUUUCCAAAAGGAAUAUUGAAGAACCUUUGUGUCCGAGUUGGUACCUUAUAUGUCCCAGCAGACUUCGUGGUGAUAGAGACCGGUAAUGAUGAGAGACCACCCAUCAUCUUAGGGAGGCCAUUCUUAAACACCUCGGGAGCUGUCAUCUAUGCUAGUGCUGCCAAGAACAGUUUCUACAUCAAAGGGAGAAAGGAGACGUUUUCCUUCAAGAACAAGACUACACAAAUCCCAGAUCAAUCUAGACGUGAAUCAAGGAAGAGGACCAACAGGAGGAACAGGAACAAGCAAGUGUGGACCGAGUCAGCUAAGAUGGUCACUGCAGUUCAUGGAGGUCAAGAUCAUCAACUUAAGUCACCGUUUUUGACCAAGAAGGACGACCCAGGAAUGCCAAACAUCUAUUGCUCCAUAAAUGGAUACAACUUCUACAAGACGACUUGUGACACCGGAUCGGGCGUCAACAUAAUGGCUGCAGUCACCUAUCGGCUCUUGUUUGGAACCAUGCCCUUAAAACCAACAUACAUUCAACUCCAGAUGGCAGAUCAGAUAUUUCUAGAGGUUAAAGGAACAGUAACUGAUGUCCCUGGCAAAAUAGACGAUCAUUUUGUCUACACAGACUUUUAGGUUAUUGACAUGGGAGAAGACGAGUAAGAUCCACCCAUCAUCCUUGGAAGACCGUUCCUCAGCACCGUUAAAGCAAUUAUAUACAUUAGAACCGGAGAAGUCCAUAUGCACUUCCCUUAGAGAAGGUACGCCGUUAUUUUACUGACCCUAACUACAUCUUUGAAGAAUCUAAGAAGGUCAGAAAACGACGCAACCACAACCAGAGGAGGCAAAUCAUCAAGGACGGAUGGGCACACUAUGAAGGAGAAGUUGUAAGGUCAGGAGACGUACAGUUUAAACAGAAUUAUCCAGAGGAGACCGUAGCACCGAGUCAGGUGUGGAAAGAGAAGAUAACUAUACAUGAAGAUGAGGCGCCGCCGGAUGUACCGACUACGCCACCUAACGAAUCCCAGGACAAUUGAGAAAACGGAGAGUCCUGUUCGGAGGACUUAAAAACACCGAACGCCUUGCCAAGAGGUAAACUUGGUAGUUAUCCUUUCCCUUUCAAUUAUUUCAAACAAUUUGCUUAGUUAAUCAUGUUCAUACUAUCCCAAAAAGAAAAUAAAAAUGUUAAAAAAUAGUAAGCCCCAUGUGAGAAUACGAGUGACAUAAAACCCAUAAGUACAUUCACUGUGGUGGCAAAAAAAUAAAAUAAAAAGUAUUUUCUGCUCUAUAAAAUGAAAAUAUAAAAAAUAUGGAGUAAUAUUUAUUGAGGAGACUCAACAUGAUAAAGGCUAGAUAUUUAUGCUAACACUUAAUCAGUUCCACAAAGCUUUGUUGUCUAUUUGAGCUUCACAGAAUUUAAGAAUCGAGAAGACUAGCAGACGGAGGACAUUCUAAUCGCUGUCAGAAUGCUGCUGACUUUCAAAUACACUUCUGCCACCUGCUAGCUACAUCAAGGGAAAUUACGUCAAAAUCCAGC